CUGUGGUCAUGUUUAUAAAAAUAAAAAUAACAAUAAUUCAUUAUUAUGUUAUGAAUGAUGUCUUUUGGAAGUCAAAACUGUCAACCAAUAAGCUAUAUAAAACUAUGGUGUACCACAGCAUACUAUAGCAUAGCAUAGCAUAGCAUACCAUACCAUACCAUACCAUAGCAAAACUAUAAUUUCUUUAUCAUUCUAAUGUAUUGUUUUCUAGUCUUCCUUCUAGGUACAAUUUUGUGGGUCUAGCUGAGCACCUGUAAUCUAAACAUCUAAAAUCUGAUUGAGUGUGUCAAUGCUCAAAAAAAUUUUGGAUUUCAAAUUUUUCAAGUUAGAGAUACUGAAUCAGUAAAGUCUAUGAAAAUAUUCCAAAUUCUGGAAAAUUCUGAAAUAUUUCUGCUCCCAAGAAUUUUAGAUGGAAAAUUCAACUACCUACUCUUGGGUGUAAAGGCUAGCCUCCCAAUUUUGAGUCUUGGCUUCUCAAUGGAAAAUGAGGACAGCAUCAAAGCAGUUUUUCCCAGGAUGGAUCUACAAUACGACACCAAAUUGGCAGCCAGCUGCAUUAGGAGACCAGCAGAAACUCUGGCAGCCAACCUAUAAUGCCAAUGGCCACAGCUCUGAGGGAAAUCCUGGCCAACAGGGAAGAGAAGUGGAGGGAGAUGAAAUGAAAUUGGUUCUCAACCCUGGAAUCCUAUCUGCCUCUGGACUUGUUAUUUUGGGUAACAAAUCACCUUAUUAUCAAAACAAGUGUUAAUUAGAAUUCCCCAUUUCUGACUGCUGGAUGGCAUUAAACUGGGGCAGCUGUCAUCCCAUCUUGUGGAUCUGUUUAUCAUCACAAUCAAUCAUCGCACCGUGCUACAGUUUUAUUGUGGAUUUUUCAUUAAAUUUUUAUCUCCUAAAAAGUAAGGACUAGAAUUACAGAUUCUAUAAUUGGCCUCAAUAUUUUUAAAAUUGAGUUCUCCUUUCAUUAAUCUAAAAUUCAAUGCAAUGAAGUUUAUGUAUGAUGGCAAACACAUGUAAUAGCCAAACAUUAAAAGAAUUUCCACCAAAAUCAGGAGCAUGACAAAAAUCUCUCACUACACAGCAAUAUAAUUCUAGGGGCCCUAGAUAAUACAAUAUGAUAAAGACAAAAAUAAGAAGUAUAAAUAUUAGAAAAGAUAUUAAGCUCUAUUUUUAGAUGAUAGGAUUAUCUAUAUGAAAUAAAGAUUAAAAUAAACUGAGGGAGGACUGGGGUUGUGACUCAGUGGUAGAGCGCUUGCCUUUCAUUUGUGAAGCACAGAGUUCCAUACUCAGCACCACAUAUAAAUAAAUAAAGAUCUAUUGACAACUAAAAAAAUAUUUAAAAAAUAAAUAAAUAAA